UACAGAGGUCUCAAGCGUUGUUCGGAUUCAUUGGGCGUAAAGGGUGCGUAGGCGGCGCGGUAAGUCGGGUGUGAAAUCUCGGGGCUUAACUCCGAAACUGCAUUCGAUACUGCCGUGCUUGAGGACUGCAGAGGGGGAUGGAAUUCCGCGUGUAGCAGUGAAAUGCGUAGAUAUGCGGAGGAACACCGAUGGCGAAGGCAGUCCCCUGGGCCUGCACUGACGCUCAUGCACGAAAGCGUGGGGAGCAAACAGG
rnacentral:rRNA from 1 species